GAUGAAGAACGCAGCGAAAUGCGAUAAGUAAUGUGAAUUGCAGAAUUCAGUGAAUCAUCGAAUCUUUGAACGCACAUUGCGCCCACCAGUAUUCUGGCGGGCAUGCCUGUCCGAGCGUCAUUUCAACCCUCGAACCCCUCCGGGGGGUCGGCGUUGGGGAUCGGCCCUGCCUCUUGGCGGUGGCCGUCUCCGAAAUACAGUGGCGGUCUCGCCGCAGCCUCUCCUGCGCAGUAGUUUGCACACUCGCAUCGGGAGCGCGGCGCGUCCACAGCCGUUAAACACCCAACUUCUGAAAUGUUGACCUCGGAUCAGGUAGGAAUACCCGCUGAACUUAAGCAUAUCAAUAAGCGGAGGA
rnacentral:misc_RNA from 1 species